UACGUAGGGUGCGAGCGUUGUCCGGAAUUACUGGGCGUAAAGAGCUCGUAGGUGGUUUGUCGCGUUGUUCGUGAAAACUCACAGCUUAACUGUGGGCGUGCGGGCGAUACGGGCAGACUGGAGUACUGCAGGGGAGACUGGAAUUCCUGGUGUAGCGGUGGAAUGCGCAGAUAUCAGGAGGAACACCGGUGGCGAAGGCUGGUCUCUGGGCAGUAACUGACGCUGAGGAGCGAAAGCGUGGGGAGCGAACAGG
rnacentral:rRNA from 1 species